rnacentral:rRNA from 1 species
AGGACGAACGCUGGCGGCGUGCUUAACACAUGCAAGUCGAGCGGAAAGGCCCUUCGGGGUACUCGAGCGGCGAACGGGUGAGUAACACGUGAGUAAUCUGCCCCUAGCUCUGGGAUAGCUCCGGGAAACCGGGAUUAAUACCAGAUACGACCACUUUAGACAUCUGUUGUGGUGGAAAGAAUUUCGGCUAGGGAUGAGCUCGCGGCCUAUCAGCUUGUUGGUGAGGUAACGGCUCACCAAGGCGACGACGGGUAGCCGGCCUGAGAGGGCGACCGGCCACACUGGGACUGAGACACGGCCCAGACUCCUACGGGAGGCAGCAGUGGGGAAUAUUGCGCAAUGGGCGAAAGCCUGACGCAGCGACGCCGCGUGGGGGAUGAAGGCCUUCGGGUUGUAAACCCCUUUCAGCAGGGACGAAGCGAAAGUGACGGUACCUGCAGAAGAAGCGCCGGCUAACUACGCGCCAGCAGCCGC